GGCAAGGCUGGCAUGCUCCGGCCA
rnacentral:sRNA from 1 species